UCUUUGAGCUUCCGGGACUUGUAAGUCUAUUUCCCUCAUGGAGUUAAGAAAAUUUUCUGUCAUUAUUUCUUCAAAUAGGUUUUCAAUAUCUUGCUCUCUCUUCUCCUUCUGGAA